rnacentral:rRNA from 1 species
CUGGGUUAGAUACCCCACUAUGCUUAGCCCUAAACAUAGACGAUAUUAAUACAAUAUUGUUCGCCAGAGAACUACAAGCGAAAAGCUAAAAACUCCAAGGACUUGGCGGUGCUUCAAAUCAACCUAGAGGAGCCUGUCCUAUAAUCGAUACCCCACGUUUCACCUUACCACCCUUAGCCGCUCAGCCUAUAUACCGCCGUCGUCAGCCUACCUUAUGAAAGCAUAAAAGUAAGCAAAAAAGUUACUAACUAGUACGUCAGGUCAAGGUGUAGCAAACAGGGUGGCAGAGAUGGGCUACAUUUUUUCAAAGGAAAAACACGAACAGAACGUUGAAACACAUACUUAAAGGCGGAUUUAGUAGUAAAAUAGGCAAGAAAACCUAUUUUAAACCUGCUCUGAAGCGCGCACACACCGCC